GGGCGGUUAGCUCAGUUGGCUAGAGCAUCUGGUCGACAACCAGAAGGUCACUGGUUCAAGUCCAGUACCGCCCA
rfam:Phycisphaerae bacterium ST-NAGAB-D1, complete genome.